rnacentral:rRNA from 1 species
GACGAACGCUGGCGGCGUGCUUAACACAUGCAAGUCGAACGGGCCCGCCCCUGUUUUUGGGGGUGGGUUGAGUGGCGAACGGGUGAGUAUCACGUGAGUAACCUGCCCCCUGCUCCUGGAUAACUGCUUGAAAGGGCGGCUAAUACGGGGUGUGCCGGCUGGUCCGCAUGGGCCUGGUCGGGAUAGUUUCAUCUUCGGGUGUUUCGGUGGGGGAUGGGCUCGCGGCCUAUCAGCUUGUUGGUGGGGUGAUGGCCCACCAAGGCGGUGACGGGUAGCCGGCCUGGGGGGGUGGGCGGCCACACUGGGACUGAGACACGGCCCAGACUCCUGCGGGAGGCAGCAGUGGGGGGUAUUGCACAAUGGGCGGAAGCCUGAUGCAGCGACGUCGCGUGAGGGAUGGAGGCCUUCGGGUUGUGAACCUCUUUCUCCGGUGGUGAAGGCCCUGUCCGUUGCGGCGGGGUUGACGGUAGCCGGGUAUGAAGCGCCGGCUAACUACGUG